rnacentral:rRNA from 1 species
UACGGGGGGGGGCAAGCGUUGUUCGGAAUUACUGGGCGUAAAGGGCGCGUAGGCGGCUCGCUAAGUCGGAUGUGAAAACUCUGGGCUCAACCCAGAGCCUGCAUUCGAAACUGACGAGCUCGAGUUCUGGAGGGGAAAGCGGAAUUCCUGGUGUAGCGGUGAAAUGCGUAGAUAUCAGGAGGAACACCGGUGGCGAAGGCGGCUUUCUGGACAGAAACUGACGCUGAUGCGCGAAAGCUAGGGGAGCAAACAGG